CGCGUGUCAUCGUGGUUUGCUGCACUUAUUGACUGGUCCUCCAAGUUCCCUCCCCUCACCUGGCAAAAUAUCUUGAUAGGCUGAUUCUAACAAGCAAUAUGGAAUAAGGAUGAAAUAAAAUGCUGCCUUUAGUUCCAGGAAAUUUGGCUGAAAUACAGCACAAGUGAAAAACUCACUGGUUUUAGCGUCCUGCAACUUUAAUAAGACUCAGCAAUACAAUAUGGUUGCCCAUGAAAUUAAUUCAGUCUUGGGUAGCACUGACGAAUGGUGUCCAGACAAAGCAGUGAAGAACCUUGCUAUUCUGUCUUUCUGUGCUCAAGCAACUGUCAGGGAGAAAAGCACUGUGUCCAUCAAACAGAGAACUGUGCUCAGUUCUGUGUGCCACACAAUGAGAAAAGGACAUGGUGCUCUAAGAAGGGCAAGCAGAAAGGAAAGAUUGUGUGGGACUGGAUUAGAUUUGUUGCCUUUUGCUUCAGAUACCACAAAUGUUAAAGGGAGAUAAGAUAAUUUUUGCUUUAACACAAAAAAGAGUUUUCUGUUGUUUAUUUUUUAUUUCUUUGACACGAGGACAGUUCAAAGAUGGAAUGGGCUAUAUGUGGGAGGAAAAGUGAGUUCUGUUAAGGAGUCUGUUUAAGCAGAGAGAGCUUAGGUUCAUGUGAAGGUAGAGGCUGGUGGUAGAUAAGAUGUAGUGUUUAGAGUACUGUGGUGAGAAAGCAAAAGCUAUGUUUGAGGGAUGGCAAUUAUUACCUAGAAUACAGGAUCUGGGAUUUGUUAGUGAACUUAGAGAGACGAGAAUGGCCUGGGAUGCCAGGGUUAUGGAUUCCUCUUUCAUUUACUAGGUAGUGGGAAACCACUAAAGUUUUGAGCCUUGAAAGAUGAUCAAGGAAGAGUUUCAGGAGAUGAGUCAUUUGGAGAUUUGUGGCAUAUAUCUGAGGGGGUAAGGCAAAGUUAUUAAUCUAGGGGGGCGUCUGUGAAUGGGCUUGACAUUAUAUUAAAAAAAUCUUUGUAUAUGUUUGUACUUACAUGCCUUUUUCUGGCAAAUUGGUCUGUGUUACCAAAUGAUUUAAGUAGGAACUGGAGGGACUGUGAGGAAGGGACCUAAUUUUAUACUUUUAUACUGGAGGGAGACCAGUUAUAAGAUUAUUGUAAUAAUAGAAAUAGGUGAAAAGGAAAGGAGGGAGUGAAGGUAGAGAGACUGUUAGAAAUCAGUAGAGCCUGGUACAAUACAACAGAAGGAGACUUGGAUCUGGCCACCAAGACCAGGUUUACAAUUCUAGCUCUUCCAAUUGUUAAUUGUUUAACUUUGCAGAAAUUAUUUAACCUCUUGGAGUCUCAGGUUACGUCAUUUUACAUCUGUAAAAUGAAGAUAAUAAUGUUCCACAGUGAGAAACAAAUGAUCUGCAAAGUAUGUCAAAGUAUUUUAUAACCUCUAAAAUUCAAAACAAAUAUUGGUUAUUUUUAUGUUGGAGUUUAAAGGCAAGAAUUGAAGACUAUAUUAGUGAAAGUAGGGAACUGAGGAUUAUUUUAUUUCACUUACUAAUGGAGAAGAAUAAGGUAUAAAAUUGCAAAGAACUUGAAGAAGCCUAUUUUGGGGCUUUGAAUUUAAGCAAAAUAAUCUGUUAUCUUCCUGUUAUUCAAGAUUUCUUGUCUUUCAAAUUUCAGCCAAAAGUUACAGUCAUAGGAGUUCAAGGCUUAAAGUAUUAAAGUAGGAAGAUUGCUCAAAAGUUGCACUUGAGGUUAAACACUUUAACUUUUGGGUUCCCUGGAUGGGCUCUUUUUUUUGUUGUUGUUAUUUUUGGAUUUAUUUGUUUACAUGUCAUUAUUUCUCCUUUGGCCUGCUCUGUCUUGAUUAUUGCUUAAAGUCAGUAAUCGUCUCAUUUCUCAUUUGUGUUUAUACACCAAGUGUCUACUGUAUGACUUGGCACAUAGUAGAUACUCUGAAUGAUUGUUACAUGAUGAAAGUGGUGGCUCAGUUGCCAGAUAGUGAAUUAUUUAAGAAUGUUGGGCUUUUUAGAGGAUGAUGAUAUUUUCAAACUGAGAUCAACAGAUAAUUCCUUCCAUAUGUCCUUUGGAAUUUCUUCUCAUUAUUUGCACAGUUUAAGAUAAAAAUAGUUGAUUAAAGAGCAGAGGAGCAGAUUAUGAUAUGCAGCAUUUUGAUAUGCUUUGGCUAUAAUACAAGAUUCUUUUAAUGUGAGUAGGGAAAAAACUGCUUUGCAAAUGUGUUAUAUAUCCUUCUGACUUGGCUUUUACCUUUGCCGGAUUUCAUAGACUUCCUGUUUGAAGCGCCUAAGGAGGCUACAGCUCACAUCUUUAUUGAUAUUGUAACUACAAGUACCAUGAAAUUGCCUUGCGUGUCUAUUGUGGUGCAGCAAUAUAACUGAGACAAAAAUUCCUGAAUAUUAAUUUCUUUUAAUUGCUUAUUCUGAUAACAAACCUGAUUUUGCAGGAAUAAAUGUACCUGAAACAAGGGCUUUCUUAUUUCUGUAAUUUUACUCCAAAGUGGACUUGUUCAAGAAUAUAACUUUACCUGACUUUAUCUCAUUGACUUUUUGCCCUAGAAAUGCAAUAGUAGCUGGAAAUUGUUAGAAAUGACUAGAUAUUUCUAAUUAGAGAGAUGGCCACAGAGGUAAUGGGACUUACUUUUUAAGAACACAGUGUGUCAGAUGCCUAAUAUAUGUUUCAUCAUGACAUAGUAUAUGGUAGAGCAGAGCUCUUAGGAACAUAGCCUUUGGUAAUACACAUAUCACCAAUCAUGCUAAAACUAUUUCUGUAGUACACAUAGUAUUUGUGUAUGUGUAAGGGCUAACGCAAGAUUCUACUGAGGUUUACUUCUCUGUAAGCAAUUGGAACCAUUUACAUAAACAACUUCAGUCAACUACUUUUUGAGUUUCAUCCAGAGAGGAAAAACAGAUUUUAGUAGUAGCAGAUGUGCAUGGCCUGAUGUAAAAUACUGUUUUCCUGUAGAGACGAAUCCAUGUAGAGAAGAAACACAAAGAAUAUGACCCUGCAACCUGAAUUAAUUCUACUUUUAAUUCUAGUAAUUUGUUGUUGUUGUUGUUUACUUUAGCCUCAGAGUCUCAGAGAAACUUGGACAUUGGAUUUUAAUAAACUACUGUGUCUCAGA